rnacentral:rRNA from 1 species
GACGUAGGGCGCGAGCGUUGUCCGGAUUUAUUGGGCGUAAAGCGCUCGCAGGCGGUCCGAUGCGUCGUGCGUGAAAGACCCCGGCUCAACUGGGGAGGGUCACGCGAUACUGAUCGACUCGAAGGCAGGAGAGGGUAGUGGAAUUCCCGGUGUAGUGGUGAAAUGCGUAGAUAUCGGGAGGAACACCAGUGGCGAAGGCGACUACCUGGCCUGUUCUUGACGCUGAGGCGCGAAAGCUAGGGGAGCAAACGGGG